UACGUAGGGGGCAAGCGUUGUCCGGAAUCAUUGGGCGUAAAGAGCGUGUAGGCGGUCCGGUAAGUCGGCUGUGAAAUCUCGGAGCUUAACUCCGAAACUGCAUUCGAUACUGCCGUGCUUGAGGACUGGAGAGGAGACUGGAAUUUACGGUGUAGCGGUGAAAUGCGUAGAUAUCGUAAGGAAGACCAGUGGCGAAGGCGGGUCUCUGGACAGUUCCUGACGCUGAGGCACGAAGGUCAGGGGAGCAAACGGG
rnacentral:rRNA from 1 species